GAUGAACGCUGGCGGCGUGCUUAACACAUGCAAGUCGAACGAUGAAGCUCAGCUUGCUGGGUGGAUUAGUGGCGAACGGGUGAGUAACACGUGAGUAACCUGCCCUUAACUCUGGGAUAAGCCUGGGAAACUAGGUCUAAUACCGGAUAGGAGCGCCUACCGCAUGGUGGGUGUUGGAAAGCUUUAUCGGUUUUGGAUGGACUCGCGGCCUAUCCGCUUGUUGGUGAGGUAGUGGCUGACCAAGGCGACGACGGGUAGCCGGCCUGGGAGGGUGACCGGCCACACUGGGACUGAGAGACGGCCCAGAGUCCUACGGGAGGCAGCAGUGGGGAAUAUUGCCCAAUGGGCGAAAGCCUGAUGCAGCGACGCCGCGUGAGGGAUGACGGCCUUCGGGUUGUAAACCUCUUUCGGUAGGGACGAAGCGAAAGUGACGGUACCUGCAGAAGAAGCACCGGCUAACUACGUG
rnacentral:rRNA from 1 species